GACGAACGCUGGCGGCGUGCCUAAUACAUGCAAGUCGACCUUAGUGGCGGACGGGUGAGUAACACGUGGGUAACCUGCCCUUUUCUUUGGGAUAAGCCUGGGAAACUGGGUCUAAUACUGGAUGGAUUGGGAUGGGCUCGCGGCUUAUCAGCUUGUUGGUGGGGUGAUGGCUUACCAAGGCUUUGACGGGUAGCCGGCCUGAGAGGGUGGUCUGUCACACUGGGACUGAGAUACGGCCCAGACUCCUACGGGAGGCAGCAGUGGGGGAUAUUGCACAAUGGACGGAAGUCUGAUGCAGCGACGUUGUGUGGGGGAUGAAGGCCUUCGGGUUGUAAACUCCUUUCGCCCGCGGAAUGGUAGUGGGUAAAGAAGCGCCGGCUAACUACGUGCCAGCAGCCGCGGUAAUUC
rnacentral:rRNA from 1 species